UACGUAGGGUGCAAGCGUUAUCCGGAAUUAUUGGGCGUAAAGAGCUCGUAGGCGGUUUGUCGCGUCUGCUGUGAAAACCCGAGGCUCAACCUCGGGCCUGCAGUGGGUACGGGCAGACUAGAGUGCGGUAGGGGAGAUUGGAAUUCCUGGUGUAGCGGUGAAAUGCGCAGAUAUCAGGAGGAACACCGGUGGCGAAGGCGGGUCUCUGGGCCGAUACUGACGCUGAGGAGCGAAAGCGUGGGGAGCGAACAGG
rnacentral:rRNA from 1 species